rnacentral:rRNA from 1 species
AACGAACGCUGGCGGCAGGCCUAACACAUGCAAGUCGAGCGAGGACUUCGGUCCUAGCGGCGGACGGGUGAGUAACGCGUGGGAACGUGCCCCUUGGUACGGAAUAGCCCCGGGAAACUGGGAGUAAUACCGUAUGAGCUCUACGGAGGAAAGAUUUAUCGCCAAGGGAUCGGCCCGCGUUGGAUUAGGUAGUUGGUGGGGUAAUGGCCUACCAAGCCGACGAUCCAUAGCUGGUUUGAGAGGAUGAUCAGCCACACUGGGACUGAGACACGGCCCAGACUCCUACGGGAGGCCGCAGUGGGGAAUCUUAGACAAUGGGCGCAAGCCUGAUCUAGCCAUGCCGCGUGAGCGAUGAAGGCCUUAGGGUUGUAAAGCUCUUUCAGCGAGGAAGAUAAUGACUGUACUCGCAGAAGAAGCCCCGGCUAACUCCGUGCCAGCCGCCGCCGUAAUAC